GCAAUGAACCGCACAAUCAACAAACUUUGAGAAAACGGCCUAUUAAGCGCAAUCGGAAGGCAAUUGGGAAUUGAGAAAAAAUGCUGCUGGUGAGCCAAGGUCCUGGAGGAGCUCUGUCUGCCAGAAAAUGUACUCGCAUAUCCCCUCUUCCAUUCGCCCACAAAAAUCCACCUCUCUUCUCCAACAUCACUGGACCCAAAUUCAUUUCCAGGAGACCACCCUUUCAUCUCAAUCUCGCUAAGCCUGAUGGAGGUAUAGAUUCUACCUCUACAACCAAGCAGCCUCUUUCUAACAACAAUUCUCCUCCUCCUCCUCCUCCUCCUCCCUCUUUUACCAGGGACGACCCUGUUUUCGUCGGCCCAGAGAGUGUUCCUUUGGAAGGCGUCAUCCAGUUUGAUAAGCUCGACUCUUCUUCCCGUCUGGACAAAUGGGGUCGAGUGGCUUUGUUUUCUGGCGGAGAUGUAUUGGCUUUGGUUUUGUUUUCUGCAAUUGGGAGAUUUAGCCAUGGUUUCCCAGUUUUUGACUUCGAGACGCUGCGCACUGCUGACCCUUUUAUCGCUGGUUGGUUUCUGGGUGCUUACUUCCUUGGGGGUUAUGGUGAAGAUGGCCGUGGAAUGAAUGGUGUUUCUAAAGCUGUGGUUGCUGCCGUUAAAUCAUGGGCUCUGGGCAUUCCUCUGGGACUAGUCAUAAGGGCAGUAAUAUCAGGACACGCUCCACCUUUUACUUUUAUUUUAGUAACAAUGGGAAGCACUGCUGUUUUACUUGUUGGAUUGAGGGCACUAUUAUCCAGCAUUCUUCCUAAUAAUGAGAGCAAGAAGGAUGAUGUAUACCGGCAUGGUAGCCCUUUUGAACUAUUUGAGUUGCUCACAUCAUUAGUACGACGGUGGUGAUUGUGGUAGCUUGUAUGAUGUUAUGUCUCUCAAGGCAUCAGCAGUUUCAGUUUUGACUUCAUACUCUUUGUUGUUACCUGCUACCAAUAUAUGGGUUGUUUUUUUGGUAUCAUCACUGCCUUAUGAGCCCAUGUAUGGAAACAAAAGUGCGCAUGAGAAAUUGUAUGAUUUAUAUUAGCAACUCGUAUGAACUACCCCCCUGAGGGUAAAUAUAUAUACUGUAUUCUAAUUCUGCUGCUGAUGCUGGAAGGUCUGGAAUGUCUGUCGGAUUCUUCUAUUGCAUAUAAUUAUGCUGAUGCAUAGGGGGCAUGUACCUUGCUAUCUCAGUUAAUCAGUUGUACUUUUUGCAGUUCGCCUGCAGGGAAAGUUAGCAAAAGAACUGAGUUUUGUAUUUAUUGGUUGUCUAUGUGAGGGCAUUGAGAAAAGUUACCCUAUUAGCUAGAAGGAUUCACAUUCUACUGUUUUUUUCUCCUGCUGCUGCUUGUUUUUUUCCAAAAAAAAAAAAAAAUCUCAGAUUAUGGUGCAAGCUGGUUCUGUGCAACUUGAUGGGCAUCAUACAUGAGUUUGAAUGCUUGCGAAGCUAAUUACAAUUUCUAUGGCAUUAAGCUUUAUCCUUCUUUGCAUUGUAAACUAUUGCGGUAAAACUAUAGGAGAAAUCUGAUUUAGAUAUCUUUUACCGAGACCAAAAAGCACAUGCUUGUUUUUAUCCCUUCUUGGAUUAAAGUUUGGUGACGAGAGAUCUUCUCUAGUUGAUUGCUUAGAACUUGGUAACAUAUUGUCUGAGUCGAGGACUAGAAAAUCACAUGAAAGUGUGAGAAAAUUCUUGUUAAUGACAGGAAAAUGCCUCCCCAGGAUGCCAAACUGUCCAACAGGAGGAGCAUUUUUGCGUAAUUACAUGGAGUAGUGAUUAGACAUCUAGGAGAAGCAAGGACUACGGGUGAUACUAAUCCUGGUGAAUCCCAUCAGCCAGAAUGUGAAAAUAGUAGUUUUUGCGGAAUUUGAAUUUUUCUCCUCGUGCAGCUAACCCAAAACCCGUGUGUGUUUGGCCAUCACAUAUGGUUAUGAUCACCUAUUUACUCAUGCCAGGUCCCUAACAGAAUUCCCUUUCCUAAUACAAAUUGCUCAAUGAGCUGUAAUCAAGCCGUUCGUUAUACACUCUCAGCUAAAGAAGCGUGAAGAAGACAUUCCUCCUAUGCACCGUAUCAGUUAACUUGCUGCACACCGUAUUAUUCAGCUCCUUUUAUUCCUUCAUUUAUUCUAAUAAAACGCGUCGUAUCAAUUAUCUCCCCUUUAAAAUGUUCUUUGUCUUCAAGAAACUAAACUAAGAAAUCGAGCUUGAAUAUCUUUAGCAUACUCCCAAGUGGCAUCAGCUGGAGAAGACCAUGUCCAGUGAAUGAGCCACUGAGUGGCUGCUUGAUUCCUACGUUUGACUAUCCUCCUCUUCAAGACAGCUUGAGGGUAUGGAAUAGCAUAGACAAGGGAAGCACGUAAGUCCAGAGAGGCAUCCACAGAAGCAUAAGCAGAUUUGAGCAAAGACACAUGAAAAGCAUUGUGAAUUUUUGCAUCAGGGGGUAACUGGAAUCUGUAAGCAACCUUUCCAAUUUUUCCAAUAAUUGGAAAAGGUCCAUAAUACUUCUUCCUGAGCUUGUGACUGGAAUGAGGAACAAAAUGCUGUAUAAAUGGCUGUAACUUCAUGCACAGUUUAUAUAAAUCAACUAAAGGAGGCUUAAAGCCCAAGAACUAGAAAAUCCUAAUGUUGCUAGGAGGGAGAACAAUAACUUGGUAAUGGCUCGCUGAAAAUGAUAUUGGCAAAGGUACACAACUUUGGCCAAAAAAAAAAAAAAAACACUAUUGAAGUACAUAUUUAUUAAAUUUAAGUUAGAUUUAACCCAUUCUAAAAUUUAAUUUAAGGAAAGCAUUGUCCAAAAGUCUUGUAAGGGGCAUACUAUAUUGUUUCAAACCGAUUUGAGACCUAAUAAUUUUUUAAAUUGUUUCAAAGAAUUACUGCAAUAAUAUUAAAUGGUGGCGUUGUGAGCUCCAUGAUUUAAUUACAUUUACAAGUUAAAUCAUUAUAGGGCAAAUGGGUGAAGUUUGUUCAACUGGAAAGGACCCAAAUGUUCUCCAUCAUGCCAAGGGUUUCAGAUAAUUUGGGAUUUGCAUUGACAUCCUUUUUGGUGACAUUCCUGGUCAGUAGAAACAAAAUUUAUUUCGACUCAGGAAGCCGUAACAGGUAACAUCCCCAUUAGUCUUCUAUUCUCCCAUUGACAAGCAAAGUGGCAAUAAAUGGUUAAAGCUUCUGAGGCCAAUACAUCAUCAAACAUUUAAUGCUAGAUCAUGGCAACUAAGUGGGCAGUGGACGAGCAAAACUAAUGUUCCAGUGGGAACACACCCCAUCUUGGCUAAAUUUCCACUUUGAAAUCUUUUUUGCACUCUUUUAUGAAUUGUGAUCUCUAGUAGAGCAUAGGGUAGCCGUAGCAUAUGGCUGGUUCUACUCUUUUUUUCUUGAAAAUGUGCAUCCUUCUUGCAAGUUCUGUUUUUUAGGUUCUUCCAUUAUUGUUAUAGUCUUAACAAAAGAAGGAAACUAAUGGUUUCUCAUAACCAAUCACUUAGCUGUCCCUUGAUUGAAAGAAGCAGAAAUCUCCCUAGAGGAAGCAGGGAGAGAAUCUAAGGUGAUUGAGACAUCACAAAUGGGCUUAGAUUUUGACAUUUCAUCGCAUAUCAAUG